rnacentral:rRNA from 1 species
ACGCUCGACACCUACGGGAGCAGCAGUCGGGAAUAUUGCGCAAUGGAGGAAACUCUGACGCAGUGACGCCGCGUGCAGGAAGAAGGUUUUCGGAUUGUAAACUGCUUUAGACAGGGAAGAAGAAGUGACAGUACCUGUAGAAUAAGCUCCGGCUAACUACGUGCCAACAGCCGCGGUAAUCUGAGCGGGCGUGGCGAAGGC